CCUACGGGAGGCAGCAGUGAGGAAUAUUGGUCAAUGGACGCAAGUCUGAACCAGCCAUGCCGCGUGCAGGAAGACGGCUCUAUGAGUUGUAAACUGCUUUUGUACGAGGGUAAACGCAGAUACGCGUAUCUGUCUGAAAGUAUCGUACGAAUAAGGAUCGGCUAACUCCGUGCCAGCAGCCGCGGUAAUACGGAGGAUUCAAGCGUUAUCCGGAUUUAUUGGGUUUAAAGGGUGCGUAGGCGGUCGGAUAAGGUAGAGGUGAAAUCCCGAGGCUCAACUUCGGAAUUGCCUCUGAUACUGUUCGGCGAGAGAGUAGUUGAGGUAGGCGGAAUGUAUGGUGUAGCGGUGAAAUGCUUAGAGAUCAUACAGAACACCGAUUGCGAAGGCAGCUUACCAAGCUACUUCUGACGUUGAGGCACGAAAGCGUGGGGAGCAAACAGGAUUAGAUACCCCAGUAGUC
rnacentral:rRNA from 1 species